rfam:Morus notabilis contig13903, whole genome shotgun sequence.
GAGAAAAGAGCCUGUCUUGAUAGCCAAGGAGACUGCCCAAAUACCACACAAGGAUUCUCAUAUAACCAAUUACAACCAUAUUUUAUCAUAACCAAUUAUACAAUAUGUUUCAUAUAUAUCCAAAAUCACAGAAAACGAAGAGCCGAGUCUUUAAUUAAGAUAGUGAUGAGACUCCUUGAAGAGGUUGCAGGCAAGUCAUCCUUGGCUACAAAACGGAAAGGGCUCCUUAUCC